AAAGAAUUAAGCCAUGCAUGUCUAAGAAUAAGUCUUUGACUGAAUCUGCGAACGGCUCAUUAAAACGGCUAUAAUUUAUUCGAACUUUUCAUCCUAAACGGAUAUCUGCGAUAAUUUUGGAGCUAAUACGUGCCUCGAGUCAAUGGCCUUACGGCGUUGCGCACUUAUUAGAACAAGACCAAUCGUGCUUGCACGUUUUGGUGACUCUGAAUAAUUCGCUGAUCGCACGGUCUUGCACCGGCGACGUAUCGUUCGAGUGUCUGCCUUAUCAACUUUCGAUGGAAGUCUAUGUGACUACCAUGGUUGUAACGGGUAACGGAGAAUAAGGGUUCGACUCCGGAGAGGGAGCCUGAGAAACGGCUACCACAUCCAAGGAAGGCAGCAGGCGCGUAAAUUACCCACUCUCAAUGCGAGGAGGUAGUGACUAUCAAUAACGAGACAGAUCUCUUUGAGGCCUGUCAUCGUAAUGGGUACAAUGUAAACCCUUUAACGAGGAUCUAUGAGAGGGCAAGUCUGGUGCCAGCAGCCGCGGUAAUUCCAGCUCUCAUGGCGUAUAUCGUCAUUGCUGCGGUUAAAAAGCUCGUAGUUGGAUCUGUGCCAUAGGACGCGGUACUCCUUGUGAGUGACUGUGCUCCGUGGUUUGUGUCGGUUUUCUGGCGUGGUCUUAACCGGCUGCGUCAGUGGCUGACGUGAUUACCUUGAAUAAAUCAAAGUGCUCAAGACAGGCGUUUCGCUUGUAUGUUUCUGCAUGGAAUAAUGGAAUAGGACUUCGGUUCAUUCUGUUGGUCUUAGGAUCGAAGUAAUGAUUAAGAGGAACUGACGGGGGCAUCCGUAUCGCUGCGUGAGAGGUGAAAUUCUUGGACCGCAGCGGGACGUCCAACAGCGAAAGCAUUUGCCAAGAAUGUUUUCAUUAAUCAAGAACGAAAGUCAGAGGAUCGAAGGCGAUUAGAUACCGCCCUAGUUCUGACCGUAAACGAUGCCAUCUAGCGAUCAGGAGUUGGUUGUUUCACCAUUCCUGGGAGCUUACCGGAAACGAAAGUCUUCGGGUUCCGGGGGUAGUAUGGUUGCAAAGCUGAAACUUAAAGGAAUUGACGGAAGGGCACCACCAGGAGUGGAGCCUGCGGCUUAAUUUGACUCAACACGGGAAAACUCACCCGGCCCGGACACUGUAAUGAUUGACAGAUUGAGAGUUCUUUCUUGAUUCGGUGGUUGGUGGUGCAUGGCCGUUCUUAGUUCGUGGAGUGAUUUGUCUGGUUUAUUCCGAUAACGAACGAGACUCUAACCUGCUAACUAGUUGGCCGAUAGUCUAGUCGGUACGACUUCUUAGAGGGAUCAGUGGUGUUCAGCCACACGAGAUUGAGCAAUAACAGGUCUGUGAUGCCCUUAGAUGUUCGGGGCUGCACGCGCGCUACACUGGAGAGAUCAGCGUGUUGCAUGCUUCCUUGGUCGAAAGACCUCGGUAAUCCAUUGAAAACUUUCCGUGAUCGGGAUAGGGGAUUGCAAUUAUUUCCCUUCAACGAGGAAUUCCCAGUAAGUGUGAGUCAUCAGCUCACGUUGAUUACGUCCCUGCCCUUUGUACACACCGCCCGUCGCUGCCCGGGACUGAGUUGCUUCGAGAAGUGUGGAGACCGUAGCUGUGGGGGGCAACCUCUGUGGCCGUGGAAACCAUAUUGAUCGCAGUGGCUUGAACCGGGCAAAAGUCGUAACAAGGUGCGAUUAGGAGAACCUGACCGCGGAUCAUUGACGAUACAGUAACCAUACAUGUGUCAUAUGUCAUGAUCGAUCGCCCUUUUUGAGGACCGUUCAUGGAUUUAGACGGGUUUACCGUGACGGUCGACAUUAACAAACCCUUGUUGGUUGGUAUACUGCCUCCCGCGUGGAGGACGCCAUUGAAGAUCACGCCUUGUAAGGGUGGCGCCAACGAUCUAUACUUUAUAACCUCAGUGAAGGAAAUUUCAGGUUAACGGAUCUGAAGCUGCGUGCGACAGUGAAGUGCCAAAAUAAUACAAGUCUAGGUGAUGGAUCACUUGGCUCGUGGAUCGAUGAAAACCGCAGCUAGCUGCGUUAUGUGGCGCGAAUUGCAGAUAUAUUGAGCGUCAAGUUGUUGAAUGCACAUUGCACCGAUCUCGUCAGAGUUCGGUACGUUUGGCUCAGUGAGGGAUUUGUUCCAUGUGUUGUCGGGCGCUUGCGUUCGUCGACUGUGUGGCUGCGCGUGCUUCCUUGCGGAAGUACCCGGAGUCUUUGGUUCAGAUGCAAAGCUGGUUCCCGAAAGGGUUCCUAAUCGAACAGCGGUUUCCGGAUACGGACCUUUGGCGACAGUGAGAUUACUUUCACAGUUUGGUUGCCUUUACGUGCUUUACGGCGCGGGGAAUGUUGAUGAUUUCGGACGUAUGCUGAUUCUAGUAUUUCCUUCCUGAGCUCAAGCGUGACUACCCGCUGAACUUAAGCAUAUCAGUAAGCGGAGGAAAAGAAACUAACAAGGAUUCCGCUAGUAACGGCG
rnacentral:rRNA from 1 species